GUUUGUGUAGCUUAUCCAUAGAGUUUAAUAUUGAAGUUAUUAAGGUAAAUUUAUUUCUCAAACA
rnacentral:tRNA from 1 species